AUGGAGAAAGGUGAAACUCCAAAUCAACUCCUUGAGCGUCUCAUGACUCUCACCGCUGAUAUUGAUUCGUGUGAGUGUGACAAGACACAAGAUGGAUUCAACAUGACUAAGCGAUUCCUUGUGGACAAGUUGCUCCAUGCUCUUGCUCCAUAUCACCAUCAGAUGGUAUGGGACAUAAGACAACACCAUGCCUUCAAGGAAAUGACUACAGAUGACAUCAUAUCCACUUUCCAACUAUUUGAAGAGUCAAAGGCAAAUGCUACAAAACAUCUUGCCAUGCAUGGUACUCCAUCGUCGAAGAUCAAUCUUGCAUUGAAGGCCAAGCAUGUAUGUGAAGAUGAGCAAAGUGAAGAAGAAGAUGAUGAUGAUGAUGAAGAAGAUGGUGAUGAGGUUGAAUCCGAUGAGGGCCCUUCAUAUGAAGACAUGGCUCUCUUUGUCAAGAAGUUUAGCGCGAGAAAAUUCAAGGGAAGGUUUCAAAAGAAGAAAGUAAGAAAAUGCUACAACUGUGAAGAAACCAACCACUUCUCCAACGAGUGCCCUUAUGAGAAGAGAGAAGAUAAACCAAGGUUUACCAAGACCUUUCCCAAGAAGAAGUUGCCAAAUCCUUUGAACUCCAAGCUCAAGAAGGGAGAUGGGAAAGCAAUGGUUGCUCAAGAAGAAUCCGAUCCGGAUGAUGUUAGUGGUGUUGCCGGAGUUGCUCAAGAUUCUCAAAACACAUUGAGGCUAGUCAACAAGAGUGGUGAAGUUGUCACCUACAACUACAUGAAGGAUUACAAGGGCAACGCUCACAAGUGUCUCAUGGCGAAGGCCGUGGUAGAAGAUGGAGAGGACCAACACUCUCCUGACAAGGUCAAGGUAACCCCACGAUCAAACCCUCCUCUUUUCACUCCUCCUACUCCUAGUGAUGAGUAUCUUGAUGCGGAGGAUAGUUAUGAGGAUGAUGAUAUAAAUGAUCCUAUGCUUGCUAAACUAAAUAAGUUCAUGUGCUCCCUUAAAGGAAAGAAGCUCACUAUGUUUUGUAUGCUUAUGAAGAUGGUGAGUAAGCACACCAUUUCCAUUAAGGAACUCGAAACCCUCGCCACCGAGGAAAAGGAAAAAUAUGAAAUCCUUGAGCGGAAAGUCCAAUAUGAGGAAGCACGCAAUGAUGAACUAUGCUUAAAAAUUGGUGCAAACAUUGAUGUUCAUACUAGAGAUCUUGCCUCCUUGAAAAAGGCUAUUGACUCUUGCGAAGAGUUGAUGAAUGAUAAAAGUAAGCUUGUAAAGUCUAAUGCUUCUCUCUCUAAGGAUUGUGAGCUCCUAUCCGUGUCCCUCAAGACCAAGGAAGAAGAGCUCACCCUUCUUACAAAGAGUUUUGAGACACUCAAGCUUACUUAUCUUGAAACUCUAGCCAAGGCUUACUCUUCUCCUAUUAUCAAUGUUGAUGCUUGUACUACUAACUCUAGUAGUGAUCUAGCAUCUAUUCUUGAGGAGAAUCGCUUUCUCAAAGCUCAAAUCGAGAAAGGGCUCAUGACAUGUGCUCAAGGGCAAAAGAACCUUAACGAGGUGUUGAGCCAACACAAUGAGGUGUUUGCCAAAGAGGGACUCGGGUUUGACCCGAGCACAAGCAAGAAGAAGACAUCCUCUCAAAAGUGCACCACCCCUCUAAAAGAAACUUUUGUACGAGAAGGGCACAAGGAGAAAGGUAAGGUUGUUAGUGGGAAGGCCACAAGGGGCAUGCCCACUCUCAACAAGCCAAAAGAGUUCAUGCCUCCAUCCUAUGUACUUCGUAAGAGUAAGGAUGGAGAAGUUUAUGCAAAGUUUGUUGGUCUUCGAAAUGCAUUUCGGUUUUAUGCUAUUUGGGUCCCUAAGACCCUUGUGACUAACGUGAGAGGUCCCAUUGCAAAAUGGGUGCCUCUAACCAAGUAA
rnacentral:rRNA from 1 species